rnacentral:rRNA from 1 species
GACGAACGCUGGCUGCGUGCUUAACACAUGCAAGUCGAACGCUGAAACCCUGGUGCUUGCACCGGGGUGGAUGAGUGGCGAACGGGUGAGUAACACGUGAGUAACCUGCCCCCGACUUCGGGAUAAGCCCGGGAAACUGGGCCUAAUACCGGAUAUGAGCGCCCCUCGCAUGAGGGAUGCUGGAAAGUCUUUUCGGUUGGGGAUGGGCUCGCGGCCUAUCAGUUUGUUGGUGAGGUAAUGGCUCACCAAGACGACGACGGGUAGCCGGCCUGAGAGGGCGACCGGCCACACUGGGACUGAGACACGGCCCAGACUCCUACGGGAGGCAGCAGUGGGGAAUAUUGCACAAUGGGGGAAACCCUGAUGCAGCGACGCAGCGUGCGGGAUGACGGCCUUCGGGUUGUAAACCGCUUUCAGCAGGGAAGAAGCCUCUUGGGGUGACGGUACCUGCAGAAGAAGUACCGGCUAACUACGUGCCAGCAGCCGCGGUAA